rnacentral:rRNA from 1 species
UACCAGCACCCCGAGUGGUCGGGACGAUUAUUGGGCCUAAAGCCUCCGUAGCCGGUCCUACAAGUCUUCCGUUAAAUCCACCUGCUUAACAGAUGGGCUGCGGAAGAUACUAUAGGGCUAGGAGGCGGGAGAGGCAAGCGGUACUCAGUGGGUAGGGGUAAAAUCCUCUGAUCCAUUGAAGACCACCAGUGGCGAAGGCGGCUUGCCAGAACGCGCUCGACGGUGAGGGAUGAAAGCUGGGGGAGCAAACCGG